rnacentral:lncRNA from 1 species
UUUUUUGGUAAGUAAAAGUAAAUUGAUUAUGUGUAAAGUUUCUACAAAUAGCUUUAUCUAUACAAGUCAUAGACAAAGCCAAGUAACUCACAGAGUGCGAAUGCGAUAGUUAUGACUACACAUGCUGUAGACUAUAACUACCUGUGGGUACAUUAUUUGGCAUCAUUCCCAAGAUCUUUAGCUAAUAGCAAAAUUAAAUUUGAUAAAGAUAUCUUUUUCUCUUCGGGUGAAGUGCUCGGUUUUGAGAUCAUGCUCCAUACAGGAUCUUGAGUCUCUAAUAAUCUCUUUCAAGAGCUGAGCAUUGUUUGUGUGUUGACAUUCAAAGAU